rnacentral:rRNA from 1 species
UACGAAGGGUGCAAGCGUUACUCGGAAUUACUGGGCGUAAAGCGUGCGUAGGUGGUUCGUUAAGUCUGAUGUGAAAGCCCUGGGCUCAACCUGGGAAUGGCAUUGGAAACUGGCGAUCUAGAGUGCGGUAGAGGGCAGUGGAAUUCCCGGUGUAGCAGUGAAAUGCGUAGAGAUCGGGAGGAACAUCUGUGGCGAAGGCGACUGCCUGGACCAGCACUGACACUGAGGCACGAAAGCGUGGGAAGCAAACAGG